rnacentral:rRNA from 1 species
ACGUAGACCUCGAGCGUUAUCCGGAUUUAUUGGGCGUAAAGGGUGUGUAGGGGGUUAUAUAAGUCAGACGUUAAAUUUCGGGGCCUAACUUCGAAACCGCGCCUGAUACUGUAUGACUAGAGGGUGCAAGAGGUAUGCGGAACGCACGGUGUAGGGGUGACAUCCGUUGAUAUCGUGCGGAACACCAAAGGCGAAGGCAGCAUACUGGGGCAUUCCUGACCCUGAGACACGAAAGCGUGGGGAGCAAAAAGGA